UUUUUUUUAAGAUUUUUAUUUAUUUAUUAUAUAGAUAGUAUUCUGCCUGCAUGUCUGCCUUCAGGCCAGAAGAGGGUGCCAGAUCUCAUUACAGAUGGUUGUGAGCCACCACGUGGUUGCUGGGAAUUCCAGUACCUCUAAGAACAACAACCAGUGCUCUUAACCUCUGAGCCAUCUUUCCAGUACCCCCUGAACUUUCUUUAUGGUGCUAAGCUUCAACUUCUCUGUAUGACCCCUUUAAUCCUGGGUCUUCCUCUGCUACUGAGGCUGCACCUUCACCAAUGGCCUCUCCUGACACCUUACUGUUCCAAGGCUCAGCUGCUCUCAAUGUGCCCUUCAUGCUUUCAAAACCAGUGUCACCUGGGAGAAUCUUACACAUGACCAAGUCUGUCAGCCAACAUGAGGUACAACCUGGGCCACCUCUGGAGCACAGCUUCUAUGCACACUCUAAGGAAACACCCCUUCCCCAGAAGAUUUCACCUAAAAUGGUGCUGGUCUUUUCCUAAUAAUUGCUAAUUUCUCAGCUCUAGCUGACCAGCAUAGGCUGCCCCAGAAAAACAAAGGUUUCAUUUCAAUGGUACUGGCCUCUUGUUAAUGAAGAUUCUUCAGCCUCAGAUGACCAGACACAUACAGAUUCUUAAUUCAAAGUAGAGAUAGCCUAAUAAAGUUUUUAAACUUCCCACUGAAUUUCACAAGCCAGGCCUCCAUCAUCUGCACUGCUCGAAGCAUUAUCAUCCAAGUUCUCACUGAACAGCCAACCGAGCUCUCAAGACUCGGGGGAUUUUCUAUCCCAAAGUUGCAAAAUACUUUCACAAUCCUCCCCAAAAGAACAUAGUUAGGUCUGUCACAUAAAUACCCCACUCCUGGUAUCAAUGUCUGUCUUAGUUAGGGCUACCAUAUAUGUGAUGAAAUAUUAUGACCAAAGGCAACUUGGGGAGGAAAGGGUUUACUUGGCUUACAUUUCCUGAGUCACAGGCCAGUGUGGAAAUCCAAGGCAGGGACUCAAAUCAGGAAGGAAUCUGGAGGCAGGAGCUUAUGCAAAGGGCAUGAAAAAUUGCUGCUUAGUAGCUUGCUACCUGCCAUAAAUGGAACACAAAAUCUACACUAAAGGAAAAGUGCUGCCGGUGAAAAAGAAAAGGUCAAAAGUGAGUUGGUGGACCUGAGAAGCUAGUUGGUGGACGUUGUCAUGAAUCAGAGCAACACCAAUUUCUGGAGUCCCUGCAUACUAUACUAAUGAGCUUCUCAGUUUCAGAAGGUCCCAUUUAUUAAUUGAAGACCUC
rnacentral:lncRNA from 1 species